rnacentral:rRNA from 1 species
CCAGACUCCUACGGGAGGCAGCAGUGGGGAAUAUUGCACAAUGGGGGGAACCCUGAUGCAGCGACGCCGCGUGGGUGAAGGAGUAUUUCGGUAUGUAAAGCCCUAUCAGCAGGGAAGAACAAUGACGGUACCUCCAAAGGAAGCACCGGCUAACUCCGUGCCAGCAGCCGCGGUAAUACGGAGGGUGCGAGCGUUAAUCGGAAUCACUGGGCGUAAAGCACGCGUAGGCGGCUUUUCAAGUCAGGGGUGAAAUCCCACGGCCCAACCGUGGAACUGCCUUUGAAACUGUACUUCUUGAGUGCUGGAGAGGCAAUCGGAAUUCCGUGUGUAGCGGUGAAAUGCGUAGAUAUACGGAGGAACACCAGUGGCGAAGGCGGAUUGCUGGACAGUAACUGACGCUGAGGCGCGAAAGCGUGGGGAGCAAACAGGAUUAGAUACCCCUGUACGA